GGGCCUGUAGAUCAGUGGAAGAUCGCUUGAUUUUAUUAAGCAGGACGCUUAAUUCCAAGAUUCGCAUUCAAGAGGUCACGGGUUCAAUUCCCGUCAGGUCCA
rnacentral:tRNA from 1 species